GCAUUGGUGGAUCAGUGGUAGAAUUCUCGCCUUCCACGGAGGAGACCUGGGUUCGCUUCCCAGCCAAUGAA
rnacentral:tRNA from 1 species